GACGAGCGCUGGCGGCGUGCCUAAUACAUGCAAGUCGAGCGGAUUUGUUCCUUCGGGGAUAAGUUAGCGGCGGACGGGUGAGUAACACGUAGGUAACCUGCCUAUAAGACCGGGAUAACUAUCGGAAACGAUAGCUAAGACCGGAUAUCUGGUUUUCUCGCAUGAGAGAAUCAUGAAACACGGAGCAAUCUGUGGCUUAUAGAUGGGCCUGCGGCGCAUUAGCUAGUUGGUAGGGUAACGGCCUACCAAGGCGACGAUGCGUAGCCGACCUGAGAGGGUGAACGGCCACACUGGGACUGAGACACGGCCCAGACUCCUACGGGAGGCAGCAGUAGGGAAUCUUCCGCAAUGGACGCAAGUCUGACGGAGCAACGCCGCGUGAGUGAUGAAGGUUUUCGGAUCGUAAAGCUCUGUUGCCCUAGACGAACAGCAAGAGGAGUAACUGCCUUUUGUGUGACGGUAUAGGAGAAGAAAGCCCCGGCUAACUACGUGCCAGCCGCCGCAGUAA
rnacentral:rRNA from 1 species